AUUGAACGCUGGCGGCAGGCCUAACACAUGCAAGUCGAGCGGAGCGGCGGACGGGUGAGUAAUGCCUAGGAAUCUGCCUGGUAGUGGUGGAUAACGUCCGGCAACGGGCGCUAAUACCGCAUACUAUCAGCUUAGCCUAUGCCGGAUUUGCUAGUUGGUGGGGUAACGGCCUACCAAGGCCACGAUCCGUAACUGGUCUGAGAGGAUGAUCAGUCCCACUGAAACUGAGAGCCGGUCCCGACUCCUUCCGGAGGCGGGAGGUGGGAAUAUUGUACAAAUGGCGAAAGCCUUAGCCCGCCAUGCCGGGUGUGUGAAGAAGGUCUUCGGGUUGUAAAGCUCUGUUAAGCGGGACGCGGUACCCGCAGAGAAAGCCACGGCUAACUACGUGCCAGCAGCCGCGGUAAUUC
rnacentral:rRNA from 1 species